rnacentral:lncRNA from 10 species
CUUUCUCAUCCAAAUUACAACUCUCAACUCUAAUGAUGUUGAAAUAUAUGAAGUCCCACUUAAGCUUGCAAGUCCUCCAGCUUCCCUCCAUGGACUUCAUAGUCCUGGGAGAUGUUUUCUAGGCCUCUAUGGCAGAAUUCGCAGUCUCCACAUGUCAGUAGAAGCAGGGAGAAGGUAACUGUCAUGGCCUCCAUAUUCUCCAUAGAUGGGUCUGCUACUAGGAGGACAUGUCAGGCUUAUGAGAAUCAAAUCUCUGUUAUGCCAAGGAAGUUGACAUUGAAGACUGAGUGCUUUUUACUGCAGGCCAAGAAACAGGCUUCUUGGAGCUUUCAAGAACUACUCUUCUUGUUAUAGGAGGUUGCUAACUUUGGAGGAAGCCAGCUGCCAUGUCACAAAAAGAUUCAGGAAGCCAUGUGGAGAGGCCCACAUCAUGAGGAACUGAGGUCUUUGCCAAUUACCAGCAAGGAAAUGAGGCCUCCUGCCAACAGCCACGUGAGUAUCCUACCUUGGAAAUGGACCCUCUAACUUCAAUCAGCCUUCAAAUAACUGCAGCCCCAGUUGAUGGCUUGACUGCAACCUUAGGAGAAACCCUGAGCCAAAAACAUUGAGGAAA